AGCUCCUCCUGCCCCUGAGAGGGCUCCAGCCGCUCCUGACCCUGGGCCUGGCUGUUCAUCUUCUCUUCAGCUUCAAUCUCUUCUGAUGUGGGGAUGGAGUUCUUCUUGGGGCGACCUUUGGGUUUUGUGGGUGCUUCCUGUCCACCUUUAAGAACCUACGGUGACCGUGAGGGUGACCAACAGAUAAUGUGUAUGAAACGACCAGAACGGCACCUGAAUGCUUUAUAGGGCAGCGAGGGCCACAUAACAGAUGACUGUUUCCAUGAAGCUGAGAAACAAGUUUGGAUUCCCCAGCAUGAAUCUCCUCCCAGACACUGCUGCUCACAUUAGCUGACUUUCUCAGCCUGAAGAUGUGAUGUUCCACUGGACCUCAAGCAGGGCCCCAAAUGCCAAGGCGCCAACUUGGAGAUGACUGGGGAGCAGGGACUGAGAAAGGACAAACACUCAGGGCUGCACGGAGUCCCUGAAACCCAUAGAAUUCACUUUUGGUUUAUGUUAUCCUGGCCUCCAAAUAUUUGGAUUCUCUGAAGACAUGGAUUUUGUGGAUAGUACCUAAACAGAUAGCCUUGAAAGAGUUUUACUGGGAAACUAGAUGAAGCAACCAGGAUCACAACACAGCCUUGCUAUUCCACUCUCUGCACGGAUCCUAUAAAUCUCCCUGCUGCUGCCCUGACCGCUGAAAUCCAGGUCAAGAGGAAUAGCUCAACCUACAGAUCCAACAGCUUCCCCGCAAGCCAGCAGCAUAGAAGGCCUUCUAAUCUCUGCAGCCCAAACUGCCACAUGGUCCGGCCUCCCUCCCAACAGCCCUGGAGUAAAAGUCCUUCCCAUCAGGAUGGGAUCAUGGUUAGUCACUCCUUUCUUACCAUUUUCUUCCAUUUCAUCCUGCGAUUCUGAUACCAGGUCUUCACCUGCAGCUGAGUGAGUCCCAGAGACUGGGCCAAGUCCAACCUAGAAGGCACAAGAUACAAAGGAAAGGUUAGCAGGAUGGGGAGAAGCGGGAGAGAUAGGAUCCUGCUGACAGGCUCCAGCACUGGCUACCAAGGCUCGGACCUCCCCCAUUAAACGAGGUCUUCCCCAAAGUGCUUUUCUUUCCUUCCAAGAAUCCAACAGAGGAAACUCUGGGAAACUGGGAAACUGAGAAACAGAUGCCCGUGCCUGAGGACACCUGGGCCAGUCCCCAUCCUGAAACAUUCAUGGUCUGCAAGGGACCUGAGAAGGAUGCCUGGACCUUCAUCACACAGUCCUUUUCCUGGCUUGACAAGAGAAUUCACUCUGACCCUCUGGCCCAUCGUCCAAACUGGAAACAAAAGGCAAAGCCAGAUGUUGCUGAUGGGAAUCCACUCAUCAUUCCAGACCCAGCCCCGGUCCCACCUCCGGCAGGUGAUUCUCCUGGCUCCCACAGCUUGUCUCCUCUGCGCCCUCCCACAUGCCAGCAGUCACCCAGAUGGUCCCACAUUUCCCGCUGUUCUCUAAUCACUCCGACUGUGUUAUUUCUGCCUCCCUAACUCGGCAGCCAGGGCAGUGUAUACCUUCCACUUCUUUUCUACCCAUGAAAGUGCCCAUCACACUGCUAAAUCCAGAACUGGUGCUCAAAAAAUACUUCUUAAUGGAUUGAUUCAAUCGCUGUAGCUGUUCUAAAUUGUUAUAACAAUUAAAAUGUUAUAAAUAAAUAAAUAUUAUAAAGAUUCC